rnacentral:rRNA from 1 species
GUCUUUUUGAUUAUAAUUUAAAGUCUGACCUGCCCAAUGAGUAGUUAAAUGGCCGCGGUAAUUUGACCGUGCAAAGGUAGCAUAAUCAUUAGUUUUUUAAUUGAAAGCUGGAAUGAAUGGUUGGACGAGAAAAUAACUGUCUCAAUUUAAUUGUAUAUAGAAUUUUAUUUAUAAGUAAAAAAGCUUAUAUGAUUUUAAAAGACGAGAAGACCCUAUAGAGUUUUACAUUUUAUUUUAUUAAUUAAGUUUAGAAUACCUAUAUUUUUAAUAUAAUAAAGUGUUUUGCUGGGGCAGCAGAAAAAUUGAGUAAACUUUUUUUAUUAUAACAACAUUGAUUAAUGAUUAAAUGAUCCAUUUUUUAUGAUUAUAAGAUUAAAUUACCUUAGGGAUAACAGCGUAAUUUUUUUUUAGAGUUCUUAUCGAAAAAAGAGUUUGCGACCUCGAUGUUGGAUUAAAAUUAACUUUUGG